ensembl:snRNA U6 U6 spliceosomal RNA
GUGCUCGCUUUGGCAGCACAGAUACUAAAAUUGGAACAAUACAGAGAAGAUUAGCAUAGACCCUGCGCAUGGAUGACGUGCAAAUUCAUGAAGCCUCCCGUGUAUUU